UGGUUGGGGACUGACAGUGCUGUUCCUUCUGCUCCAGUGGCCGGCUGAGUAUGAUGCUACUAAGUCAUCUCUACGCAGGGAUGAGUUUCAUGAGGAAUUUUGAAGACGGUAUGUCCAUCCCCACGUCAAGAAAGAUGCGAGACAGCUGCAGAAAGAAUGUGAAACUCAGUGUUUGCCACCCAGGGAUACAAGCCUGGCAAUUCUGAAUCCAGUCCUGGAACUCAGCUAAGGUAGAAGAGAGAAUGGACUCCACAAGGCUGCCAACUUCCAUUUAAAAGCUGUGACAAAAAUCCCCCUGUUUCAGGUCAGGAGGAUCUCAGUGAGUUUUAGGCUAGCCUGGUGUUCACAGGAAGUUACAAGACAGAUAGACAUACCUAGAGAGACCCUGACUCAAAAAAUAAAACAAACAAACAAAAAUCCA